UCUAUGUUUUAUCACUUUGCAUUUUCAUGUAUAUAGAUGUUAUCCAAGAAAAUGUAUUUAUAGGUGUUGCUCACCUGUCAAAUUGCUUUUGUAGAUGUCUGGAAAGACGGGAGGAUUUGGGUCCAAGUUUAAAUAAUUAACUUAGUUCUUGCAUCCCUUCAUUUAUAUGUUGACUAAUGACACCAAAGUGACAGGUGAAACUGAGGUGAGAAAAAGAGAGUACUGUGAUUUUUUUACCAUAGAUCUAAAUUUUAAACAUUGUCACAUGUUCAUAUCUGAAAGCAAACCAAUAUUGGCUCUAUAAAACUAGGUUGAGCUGGAGCAUUAGUUAAAGCGUGUCUUACCAGAAUGUGCAGAAAUAAAUCAUGUCCGAAUAAUCCCAUUACAAAUGGAGGUAAUGAUCUAAAGCUUAACUGGUCUUUGGGGUGAAUUGUAAUUUAAAAAGUUUAAUACUUCAAAAACGAGUCUGCAAUAAGAACCUUGCCUGCCCAAAAUAAAGAAGACAUCGUACACAGGUGUUCCCCUGGUCUUAGCCAAUCAGAGUCCCAAACCGAAUAAGAGCACUUGUGCAAGAAGACAGAAAUAUGACAGAGGAAUUUGAAAGCUUGUCAAGCACAACACUAGAGGUGGUGUCCCUUAUUCUUUUGUUUUCCCGUGAAUGCACUUGCUCCAGUUGAUGGUACAAUACCGGGAGGCGGUAUUGCCUCUCUGAUCCUCUAGUUUUGAAUCUGAUGAUGAUGAUGAUGAGUGAAGCAGUCAGAGCAGUCCAGAACUCAAUGAGCUUUCCAGCAGUACUAGCACUGCCUGGUGUUGCCAGCCACCUUAAACCUAAAGGACCAGUUGGACGAUUUAGGGUAGUUGGCUGUAUUGCAGGGUCAGGCAGUAGUACUGAGACAGUGGCAUGUCCUGGCACUCCUAGGUCCAGUGGUACAAAGCUUUGAAGAGCUGAGAGAUCAAGAGGAAGGGGAAGACAAUUGACCCAAGUUUAUGAAGACAGUUAAAUAACUUAGAGAGGCAAGGCACAAAGAACUAGAGCAAACAAGAUGAUGCUGACAAGACAGUGCUGAAAAACAUAUUCUGCCCUUGCACUGGACAUAAAGAAGAUCCUGCUAGAGUAUUUACCUGGCAGUAACCCAUCACCAGUCAAGAUGGGAGUGAGCCUCCUCUCAUUCACCCGCUGUAAUGUCCCCAACAUUUGGAUUGUUGAUGAAUUAACUACAUUUAUUCAUUCUCAGUGAAGAAUAUCAUAGAAUAACUAUCACCAGGAGUUGGGUCUGUUCACGGAAAAAUAAAUGCAUUUUUAAAUUAACUUAGCUUCCACUAUCUAUAAUGUCUUCACCAGACAUGAGUGCACCAAAGGAAUCAAAAAUUAAUUCUGUUUAAAAAUUCAAAUUAUUGAAUGUUAAAAUAGAUAGAUAUAUAGAAAUA